UACGUAGGUGGCAAGCGUUGUCCGGAUUUACUGGGCGUAAAGGGAGCGUAGGUGGAUAUUUAAGUGGGAUGUGAAAUCUCCGGGCUUAACCUGGGGGCUGCAUUCCAAACUGGAUGUCUAGAGUGCAGGAGAGGAGAGUGGAAUUCCUAGUGUAGCGGUGAAAUGCGUAGAGAUUAGGAAGAACACCAGUGGCGAAGGCGACUCUCUGGACUGUAACUGACACUGAGGCUCGAAAGCGUGGGGAGCAAACAGG
rnacentral:rRNA from 1 species